UACGUAGGGGGCAAGCGUUGUCCGGAAUUACUGGGCGUAAAGCGCACGUAGGCGGACUACUAAGUCAGGGGUGAAAUCCCGGGGCUCAACCCCGGAACUGCCUUUGAUACUGAGAGUCUCGAGUCCGGAAGAGGUGAGUGGAAUUCCGAGUGUAGAGGUGAAAUUCGUAGAUAUUCGGAGGAACACCAGUGGCGAAGGCGGCUCACUGGUCCGGUACUGACGCUGAGGUGCGAAAGCGUGGGGAGCAAACAGG
rnacentral:rRNA from 1 species